rnacentral:ncRNA from 1 species
UUUUAAUCUAUAUUAAUGCCAAUAAUGGAUGCCUAGGAGGCUUUGACCGAGGAAGGACGCAGACGGCGGCGAUACUCGUCGGGGAGGUGCCAUCAACCUUCGAUCCGGCGGUUUCCGAAUGGGGAAACCCAGCCAUCGCAAGAUGGUUAAUCCUGAGUAAAAAUGACUCACACAUUAUUCAUAAAAUCGCAAUUUUUAUUAAUUUAAGCUUUGCGAUGGAAUUUCAAAUAAUUACCAAUUUCAAAUAAGCAAAUAAACGAAUAAAUUUGACAUUUGAUAUUUGUAGUAUUUGUUUAUUCCCAGAGCGUAUGCUUUAUGUUUGUGGAUAGCGUGUGGGUCAUAUAGCUCUGGGUUGGGUACGGCGUGAACUGAAACAUCUUAGUAACGCCAGGAAAAGAAAUCAUUAGAGAUUCCGUCAGUAGCGGCGAGCGAAAGCGGAACAGCCUAAACUUGUGCAUUGCACAAGAAUGAUGAAUAUGCAAAUAUGCAAAUGAUAAAUGAAUGAAAAAAUUAAUUAAUUUCUAAAUUCAAAAUAAAUUUGCUUAUUUGACAUUUGAAAUUUGUCAUUCUCGCGCAGUGCGCGAGGGUUGCAGGGCAGACGAUAUUCGAUGAAAGUUUGAUAGCAGAAAGACCCGGAAUGGUCUUCCACAGAACGUGAUAGGCGUGUACGCGAAAUUAAUACUUUCCGAUAGUUUGUUCCUAAGUACCAUGGGGUACGAUGAAACCCUGUGGGAAUCUGGGGCGGCCACGUUCCAAGGCUAAAUAUCAAAGUCUACCGAUAGUGAACUAGUACCGCGAGGGAAAGGUGAAAAGCACCCCGGGAGGGGAAUGAAAUAGAUCUGAAAUUGUUGGCUAACAAGCAGAGAGAGCUUGUGCUUUGCACAAGCGAGUUAAUAAAGUUCGUAAAGUACUAAGUUAAUAAAGUCCAAAGCUUUAUAACUUUAAAAACUUUAUAAACAU